AUAGUACCAGCCUGAAUGCGCCUGAUCUCGUCUGAUCUCAGAAGCUAAGCAGGGUCUGGCCUGGUUAGUACUUGGAUGGGAGAAUAUAAUGAAAGAAAAUAGUCUGUU
rnacentral:rRNA from 1 species